AACCCUUGUCCUUAGUUACCAGGCACGUUAUGGUGGGCACUCUAAGGAGACUGCCGGUGACAAACCGGAGGAAGUGGGGAUGACGUCAAGUCAUCAUGGCCCUUACGGCCUGGGCUACACACGUGCUACAAUGGUCGGUACAAAGGGUUGCCAAGCCGCGAGGUGGAGCUAAUCCCAUAAAACCGAUCGUAGUCCGGAUCGCAGUCUGCAACUCGACUGCGUGAAGUCGGAAUCGCUAGUAAUCGUGAAUCAGAAUGUCACGGUGAAUACGUUCCCGGGCCUU
rnacentral:rRNA from 1 species